GUGCCCACUUUGGCAGCACAUAUACUAAAAUUAGAAUGAUACAGAGAUUAGCAUGGCCCCUGUACAAGGAUGACACAAAUUCAUGAAGCAUUCCAUAUUUUA
rnacentral:snRNA from 1 species